GAAGCUGAAGGGGAAGGACACCCAUCUUUUUGCACUCCGGAAGACUGGCACAGCCUGUUCUUGUGCAAGUCUCAUCAUCUUUUCAUCUGCUGAUUCAUGCCUGGAGUCUAUAUUGGAAGUUGAACGUGAACAACAGAAGAUGCCUGUUAUCAGGCCGAGUAUGGAAGAUGACCAUGUGGCUGAUUGUGGCUGAUGCAGUGGCCUAAUAACCCAUUUGAGAGACUGCAGCAGCUUGGAAGGGAAAAUAUUUCUUAAAAAAGCUUCUGGCUAUGGAAGCUGGAACAGAAGAAAACCAAUGAAUAAACUCAGGGAAUUUCACGAAUGUCCAAUGCUGACACAUUUGAAGCUUUCAUAAAAAAUACAUUUUGAUAAUACAAAGUGCUAAUCUGCUUUGACAGCUACUGAAGAGUUGCCAAAUAUGGGAGGGAGAGGAAUUUCAGAAACCUGUGGUGCCAAAUAUUAUCACUGGAGAUGUUAAAAGAGGAAUAAAACCAGUGUGGGAUCAUGUCUCUAGCUGAAGGUUUAAAAAUAGCUUUACAGGGCCGCACAUAAAAAUCUAGAGGGGAAGUGUUUCGGCAAGGGGCUGUGGAUUUGUUAUGAUGCAGGGCUGCCUAUUCUUAAGUGUCAUUUUUUAAAAAUCAGCCUUUAAUUAUGGCUAUCCAGUAAACCACUCCACUGUCUCUGUUGAGAUUUUCAGCUCCGAAACCUGUGGUAUUAGACACCAAUUAGUAAUUUUAUUAUAAAGAUGUUCAAUGUCAAGAUAGCACUUCUCGAUUCUGGCAGUGACACUGAGUGGUGGGGAGAAGGGGUGACUUUAGGAAACAGAGCUGACCAUCUGCUAAGGCCUGCUCACUCACAGAUGACUAAUGUUUUCCCUGGAGGACAGUGUCUCCAUGUGUUUCUGUUGCUGUCUUUUUGAUGUCACAAAAAGAGGUUGAUAAACACAUUCAAGCCACAAUUAAAAAACAUUUUAACUGA